CCGGGGUUUUUCUUUUUUCAUUGCCUGUCCAUCAGAUUUUGGUAGAUGUUAACAACUCGAAGGGUAAAUAGGCAUCCUCUGCUUUGUCAAAACUAAAUCAUCGUUUUUCUUCCUCGAUCGUAAUCAGAGGAACACCAUCACCACCAUUAUAAACCAGACCGCCAUCAGUUUCAUCUUCUCCCACAAAAUCCACCACAGCAUGGCCACCAUUCUAGAAAAAACCACCACCACUUCAUUACUCUCUUCUUCUCCUCCGAAUUGUUGUUGUUUGCCCAGUUUUCCCCCAAUUUUAUGCCCUAAUCUAAUUGUAACAUCAACUCUCCCAACAAUUUUCCUCCCCAUUCAUUUUAUUCAACCUUCUUUUCUAUUUGCUCUAAGUCACGCCCUAAUAAUAAGCCCUAAUAUAAAAAAGCAACACCGUUACAGACAACUGCAAUUGAAACAGAAAAUUGGCAUGAAUUGAAAUUGGAUUUGUCAAAUUGGUUUCUCACCAACUUCGGUUCGAUUUCGAUUCAUACUAAUUUCAUUUUGAUACAGAAGAUACAGCUUCGUAUCACUAUCAAUUUUUCUGUUCCUCAAAAGAUCUCAAAGCCCAUCUUCAUUAUUUGAUUACAUCUACAGAUUUUAAAGGAAGGCGAUGAAUCUUCAAAGACGUUGGUACUGGGUAGGACCAUUGAUUUAAGGAGCCUAAUCGCUGAACAGAUGAGCAAAAUGUUUAGAGAUAAUCUAUGAUUGCCGUGGAUAAUCCGUGAUGAGCAAAAUAUUCAGAGAUCAGGGUAUGUGGGGUUUUGAUGAGAUACCAAAUUAUGUUUUUCUAACCCGACGAAGAACAAUUUGUGGAAACAGUAUUGGAGAAAUGUAUGGACUAUUGCCAAGAAGCCGAAAUUGGAAGUAAGAGAAUUCUGCCAAAUUCAAGUUUUGUUGCCGCUACGUAAAUGUGGUUAAAAUUAUAAUACAAAAAAAGAUUGGAUCUACACAUUCUAUUACAUAUUGCCAUGUUAUUUUAAGGACAAUCUGAACAACAUUGGUUUCUUCACAAUUUUGAUAUUACAUGUAAUUGCGGUAAUUGCUGAUACCAACAGUAUGUUCGAGCAUAAACUAAAGACCUUGCUGGUGCCAUUACAGCACCAGCACGGCAGCACCCCUUCCGCCCCCGUGCCAUUAUGGCACGGGCAAUCCACUAGUUAUCAAUAUAAGAAACAGACAUCCAACAGUUGCAACAUCAUCAUCAUCAUAAUGGCCAUUAGAGUAUGGUUGCAUAUUAAACAUUUUACUUUCUAUUGUGUUCUUAUGCAAUGCCACGUAUCAUAGAAAAAAUUAAUGGCACAACAAAUGAGGUAUUCAGCUCAAGCUUCGGCGACGAGAGGCAUUAAACAAGGCAACAGUGACGUGAUGGACAGUCCAGUGGUGCCAAACUCCCAUGCUCAUUCCAGCGUCCCAAUCUAUUGUUAAGAAGAGACAUCGAUUCAGUAUAUACUGGCAUAUGACCCAGAGAUACCAACAUGUGUGAAGACUAAAGUUGGCUUGAGUCCAUCAAUUUAAGAAGAAAUAAUGGCGGCAUCUGCGAUAGGCUCUUUCUUAUGGACGUGGGAGAAUGUCCUGAAGCCUAAGGAACAUGAGACUUGAAAGCGGAUCCAUAGAGUAAGGAGCUUGCAGAUAGCUUACUAAAGGUGGGAGAGGAUCCGGAACCAAGGAUUCAGCUUCCCACUUGAAUGAACAGAUGCGAAAAUCUUAGAAAUCUCAUCUCAACUGUGUAUUGGGGGAUUGAUGAAAUGAACACGGCCAUACAAAAUUAUCUGACUGAGAGAACGUUUUUUAUGCCUACGAAAUGAUGACUUGAUGGUGAUCAAGCAGUUAAUACUCCAGAUUGAUUGGGGUAAAUACCAUUCAUACAUGUCAGUAGACAAUACUCCAGAUUGAUUGUGGUAAAUACCAUCCAUACAUGGCAGUAGACAAUCUGGCAGACAAUGAUGAUAAGGAAUCACUGAUUUGGCUAUGAAAAUGACAAGAAAACAGUUCCCAGUAAUUAAGGUUAGCUUAUGCAUCUACCAGAUCAUCCUCUACUAUAAUGUCCACAGUUCGUGGUAUCUGACCAGGGGCAUUUUCCUCAGAAACUUCUUGCAUGGACAACGUUUGGUGAUCUUUGUAUUUGCAUAAUCCAUACUCAGUUAAGUUGCCAUUGUCAUCCUAAAAUUUAGCUGAUUAAUUAAAUACUCUUUUUGUACGGAAAUUAAAAAACAUCACAUCAGAAAGAAAAAAUUACCCGUAGGGGAAACACAGAUCCAGUCAGUCAGCCUAUACUCGAAGUAAUGUCUCGAUAUUCACGUGCUGUACACUUUUUACUUGGGUCUAACAAGAGUGCCUAGA